UACGUAGGGUGCAAGCGUUGUCCGGAAUUAUUGGGCGUAAAGAGCUCGUAGGCGGUCUGUCGCGUCGGCUGUGAAAACCCGGAGCUCAACUCCGGGCCUGCAGUCGAUACGGGCAGACUGGAGUUCGGCAGGGGAGAACGGAAUUCCCGGUGUAGCGGUGAAAUGCGCAGAUAUCGGGAGGAACACCGGUGGCGAAGGCGGGUCUCUGGGCCGAUACUGACACUGAGGAGCGAAAGCGUGGGGAGCGAACAGG
rnacentral:rRNA from 1 species